rnacentral:lncRNA from 7 species
GGGAUGGUCGAUGGUAGCAGGGGUUCCUUAAAGAAAAAGGGAAAAGCUGUAGGGAGAGAAGGUGUAGGUUAGGUGUUGGAUGCCAGAACCCCAGCCUGAAAACCACUACAGCCAUUUGCUGUUUUUCUAUCAGAUGGAAUUAAAUCACUAGCUUUUCCACGCAGUGGAAAAUGAUUAAUACUACUUCAUCUUCUCUGUAACUGUAGCAGCUCAAUCCUAAAGUCAUUAUAUGGGUGAUUUGAGGGUGAUUUUGAUGCUUGCCUUAAGAGAGAAGAGGUGGGACUGCAGAUAAAGUACUUAAGGAAUGUGCCUUGAUAGCUUCUUGUAGGCAAAUGAAACAGCACAGCUGAGGAAAUUAAAGUGUAAAACCCACCAGAAUAGAAACCGUUGUGUGUCUUUCCUUUCUGCUUUUCACCAUCUGCUUGAAAGCCUCUGCAGAAGAUGCCUAGGCCUCAAACAGCAGAGGAAGGGCUGAGGAGGUAUGAAGCCAGUUCCUAACCUGCCAGGCACCGCAGCAGAUUGUCACAGCCAACUGAUGAAGACUGAGUAAUGAUAACUCAGUAUUAACCUGCUUCUAGUAUUACCCUGUAAUACCGUUCAUCUCUUCCAGUAUAUUUAAUAAGCCUCCUCCCCUCUUUCAGGGGUAUGAUUCUUACAAAGAGGCUAACAUACUGUGUAGGUGGAGGUCCUUGCCUCAAGGAAAGGGGCAUUCUUAAAGAGGAAAUGCGUUUUUAAUAAAAAAAAAAAAGUGAAAGAAAAAAGCUUAAAACUCACUUUGAAGCAAGACAAAUCAAAUGACUUUAUUCAGAAAUUCAAGUUCAGAAUCAUAGUUUUUUGUGUGAUGUUACAACAGUCCAUCACCUUACACUUUCUGCAACUUAUUCUAACUCAGCUUGGAACUUGUCUAGAACAUCUACAUGGUCUUUCACACAAACCCACUGCACAGAAGGAGCCUGAGAUAAUUUAAGACUACCCCUCACUUGUG